rnacentral:misc_RNA from 1 species
AAAUGCGAUAAGUAAUGUGCAUUGCAGAAUUCCGUGAAUCAUCGAAUCUUUGAACGCACAUUGCGCCCUCUGGUAUUCCGGGGGGCAUGCCUGUCCGAGCGUCAUUGCGAACCCCUCAAGCACGGCUUGUGUGAUGGGCCCUCCCGCGUCUUGGUCGUCAAGACGGGCCCGAAAUGCAGUGGCGGCUUCGCGGUUAUCCGAUCAGCCAGAGCGUAUGGGGACUUUCUCUCUGUCACACGCCCGCGGCGCGGACCGACGCCUGUCGACCUUUAUUCAUCUUUUUCUCGGUUGACCUCGGAUCAGGUAGGGAUACCCGCUGAACUUAAGC